ensembl:lncRNA
ACACCAUCAGCACCUGCGACACCAUCAGCACCUGCGACACCAUCAGCACCUGCGACACCAUCAGCACCUGCGACACCAUCAGCACCUGCGACACCAUCAGCACCUGCGACACCAUCAGCACCUGCGACACCAUCAGCACCUGCGACACCAUCAGCACCUGCGACACCAUCAGCACCUGCGACACCAUCAGCACCUGCGACACCAUCAGCACCUGCGACAGCUGCGAUACCAAGUACCAGCUUCACCUGUGACGCCCUAAGCACCCAGGACACCACUGGGGCCUGCAAUAUAGAUGACACCCGUGUCAUCUGUGACACCUGCGUCACCAGUGACACCUGCCUCACCCGUGACACCAGCAUCAUCGAUGACUUCUAUGAUGCCCGUGACGCCAGUGAACCCAGUGAACCCAUGACAGCUAUGAUACCAGCAGCACCAGCCUCACCCAUGACGCCUGUGGCACCCAUGACACAAGGGGCACCCAUGACACAAGGGGCACCCGUGACACCAGCCUCACCUAUGACGCCCUGAGCACCCAGGACACCACUGGGGCCUGCAACAUAGAUGACACCCGUGUCAUCUGUGACACCUGCGUCACCAGUGACACCUGCCUCACCCGUGACACCAGUGGUGACCACAGCACCCAGGAUACUCAUGCUACUAACGUCACCCGUGACACCAGGGGUGCCAGCGACACAGAUGGCACCCAUGGCAACUGUGACACACAUCACACCAGGGGCACCCAUGACACCAGUGUCACCCGUGGCACCCACGUCACCCACAACAUUCACAGAACCCACGGCACACAGGACAACCACACCACCUGUGACACCUGCAACACCAAUGGCACCCAUGACAUCAGCGGAAAGUCCCUGAAGGAACUCACUGCCUCCCAGAGGUGCCUGAUGCAGGAAGCACCACCCUUGUUGGGCACCCCGAGGAUAUGUCCCCAGUCACUCCCUCUGGCCUCACCUAGAAAAAGAAGGGGUUGGCUGGGAGUAUCUGGAGACGUAUAUUUAAAUAUCUUUGCUGUGGGCUGCCCAGCAAGAGAGCUAGUAAUAAAGUGGCGCCAGAAACAGACAGUGGAUGACCUGACAAGCUCCAUGGGACCUGGUCGAGUUCCCACCUGGAUGAUGGGAUUCAAAUCCAGCACCUCCACCGCCUUCAGAAAAGCCUCCUAUAGAAAACCCUGGCCAGCUCAGAUGAUGCUCUGGAGUGGUCUGGGCGACCAGAAGAGGCACCACCCUGGCCUGGCUGCCCCUCCUCCCCUGCUGGGUGAAACUUCAGAGACUGGACUGUGCCCUGGGGCAUGUCCCCCACCCCCCACACUUCUGUCUUUCAUUUUGGUGGGGGAGGGGAUAGUUAUUGCCAACUCCUUGGUUUUCUCUUAGUUCAGUCUUACUAAACUUUAUGCUCCAGAAAGAUGUAUCAUCCUCUGUUUUGCCUUCUCUCUGGUUAGAGAAGUGUGUAGUCAUGUAGUACUUAGCGUUAAUGACCUAAAAUUAGUGCAAUCGUUCCCAAGAGCAAAUAUUGCUGCCCUGCACUGCAGGCCAGACAUGCAGAAAGAGUGUAUUAUCCCCUGCACUAACAUUACCUAAUAUUUUCAGAAGGGCAAAGGAAACUUUUGGUCCCUGCGCUAGGGCUAAAAGGACCGGGACGUCUAGGAUAGGAUAAUAAGUCCUGUGAACCAGCCAGUGUGUGGUGUGGUCAGGCUCCUGUGCGGAUGACUUUCCUGAAUAUCCUGCAGGAGCUGGGCUCUCUCCUUCCC